UGAACGCUAGCGACAGGCUAACACAUGCAAGUCGAGGGGUAACAGGGUAGCAAUACCGCUGACGACCGGCGCACGGGUGAGUAACGCGUAUGCAACCUGCCUAUAACUGGGGAAUAGCUCCCUGAAAGGGGAAUUAACACCGCAUAACACUAUUGAUUCGCAUGGAUUGGUAGUUAAAUGUAGCGAUACAGGUUAUAGAUGGGCAUGCGUGACAUUAGCUAGUUGGUGAGGUAACGGCUCACCAAGGCUACGAUGUCUAGGGGUUCUGAGAGGAAGGUCCCCCACACUGGUACUGAGACACGGACCAGACUCCUACGGGAGGCAGCAGUGAGGAAUAUUGGUCAAUGGGCGCAAGCCUGAACCAGCCAUGUCGCGUGCAGGAAGACUGCCCCUAUGGGUUGUAAACUGCUUUUAUAGUAGAAGAAACACAUCUACGUGUAGAUGUCUGCCAGUAUACUAUGAAUAAGCAUCGGCUAACUCCGUGCCAGCCGCCGC
rnacentral:rRNA from 1 species